rnacentral:rRNA from 1 species
GAUGAACGCUGGCGGCGUGCCUAAUACAUGCAAGUAGAACGCUGAAGGAGGAGCUUGCUCUUCUGGAUGAGUUGCGAACGGGUGAGUAACGCGUAGGUAACCUGCCUGGUAGCGGGGGAUAACUAUUGGAAACGAUAGCUAAUACCGCAUGACAACAGUUAUUGCAUGAUAACUGUUUAAAAGGGGCAACUGCUCCACUACCAGAUGGACCUGCGUUGUAUUAGCUAGUUGGUGAGGUAACGGCUCACCAAGGCGACGAUACAUAGCCGACCUGAGAGGGGGAUCGGCCACACUGGGACUGAGACACGGCCCAGACUCCUACGGGGGGCAGCAGUAGGGAAUCUUCGGCAAUGGACGGAAGUCUGACCGAGCAAAGCCGCGGGAGUGAAGAAGGUUUUCGGAUCGUAAAGCUCUGUUGUAAGAGAAGAACGAGUGUGAGAGUGGAAAGUUCACACUGUGACGGUAUCUUACCAGAAAGGGACGGCUAACUACGUG